UACGGGAGGCAGCAGUGGGGAAUAUUGCACAAUGGGCGAAAGCCUGAUGCAGCUAUGCCGCGUGUAUGAAGAAGGCCUUAGGGUUGUAAAGUACUUUCAUCGGGGAGGAAAAAACAAAACUAAUAAUUUUAUUUCUUGACGUUACCCGAAAAAGAAGCACCGGCUAACUCCGUGCCAGCAGCCGCGGUAAUACGGAGGGUGCGAGCGUUAAUCGGAAUUACUGGGCGUAAAGGGCACGCAGGCGGUUAAUUAAGUUGGAUGUGAAAUCCCCGGGCUUAACCUGGGAAUGGCAUUCAAGACUGGUUAGCUAGAGUCUUGUAGAGGGGGGUUAGAAUUCCAUGUGUAGCGGUGAAAUGCGUAGAGAUGUGGAGGAAUACCGGUGGCGAAGGCGGCCCCUGGACAAGACUGACGCUCAUGUGCGAAAGCGUGGGGAGCAAACGAGGGAUUAGGAUACCCGU
rnacentral:rRNA from 1 species